rnacentral:rRNA from 1 species
AUUGAACGCUGGCGGGAGGCUUUACACAUGCAAGUCGGACGAGCGGCGGACGGGUGAGUAAUGUAUGGGGAUGUGACUAGUGGCGGGGGAUCACUACUGGAAACGGUAGCUAAUACCGCAUACAAUUGGAUGAACCCAUAUGGGAUUAGCUUGUGGGUGAGGUAACGGCUCACCUAGGCGACGAUCCCUAGCUGGUCUGAGAGGAUGAUCAGCCACACUGGGACUGAGACACGGCCCAGACUCCUACGGGAGGCAGCAGUGGGGAAUAUUGCACAAUGGGCGCAAGCCUGAUGCAGCCAUGCCGCGUGUAUGAAGAAGGCCUUCGGGUUGUAAAGUACUUUCAGGCGGGAGGCGUUACCUACAGAAGAAGCACCGGCUAACUCCGUGCCAGCAGCCGCGGUAAUUC